ACAGACACCAAGGACAGAGGGGCAGCCCCCUCCUCCUCUCACAGGCCCACUUACCUAUCCAGCUUGAGCUCUCCAACAAGCCUGUUGGACUCGGCGCUGACCUCCAUGGAACCAGUUGUGUGCUGCCAAAACAACAACCCAGGGUGAAGUGCCCUGACCCAGGCACCUGAUUGCAAGGCCUCCAAACCAAGAAGGGUCAGCUUCACAACGGCUCAGCAGGGCAGCAUACACUGUGGGGUCAGGCCCACAGAGCCAGAGGAGUGGGGAGACUUCCCUUGGCUUUGUGGCUGUUGAGUCCUAAACUGUCAAUUUCCAUUUUCUCUCUCUACUUCCAGGACCAUUUCAGAGUUCUUGGGCCACUCUCGGAGAGGCUGCAUAAGACAGGCCAGCCCCAUUCUCACAAUCCCUCAUUCAUUAAUUCAUUCAAAAAAUAUGAGAAGGAAGUCCCCGGUUCCCACCUCAGCUGUUCUGUGCAGUCUGUGUGGUCUUGGAUGACCUCUUAGGACCUAUUCUGUCUGCAAAGUGGGAAUAACAGGUCUCAGCUUGGGAGACCCAGUAGACCUGCCUAAGGCCUCUAAGUGCUUCCUGGUGCAGAGAGUGUCUGAACCACACCCUCAGUGGCCAUAUGGGUGCCACCAAAUCUUUGCGGAGUGAUGGAGUGAUCAAAGGGAUGAAUGCAUAAAUCAACAAUGGAGUGAAAACUGAGGCAAAUGAAGGAUUAAAAAAUAUGUGAAUUGAAGAAUAACAAAGAUAUGCAUGAAUGAAUAAAUGAUGGACGAAUAAAUGAACAAAUAUACAAAUGAAUGAUCAAUUGAACAAAGGUAUAAGUAAAUGAAUAAUUGAAUAAAUGAGUGCAAGUGGGAAUCAGAAAAUGUAUAACAUAUUUCAAGUCAACAAUCUAAUAAAUAACUGAAUGAAUUAAUAAUUGAAUGAAUGAACAAAUACACAAAUGCAUAAUUGAAUGACUAAAGAUAUAAAUGGAUGAAUUGGAACAGUACACAUAUUUCAAGCCAACAUGGAAUGAAUAAUUGAAUGAAUGAGAAAUUGACUGAAUGAAUAAUUGAAUGAAUAAGUAAACAAACGCACUAGUGAAUGGCUGGGUGAAUGAAUACCUCCAGGAGUCGGCACCAUUGAGUACAGUGACUCAAGCCUCAGGCUCCGGAGUGACACAGUCCAGGUUUGAAUCCAGACAGGAUUCACAUGGUCUCCUGACUCCAAAGACAGUGCUGUUGGGACUGUCUGGGGCUCCUCAUCUGUCCAACCCAGGAACUGCUUACCAUGCCAAUCAGGAAGAGGGAAGCCAGGGAGGAGUUGGGGAGGACGGCAAAGGCCUGGACAUCCACGGCAGGGUAGAAGGUGAUAACACAGCCUGCAUCGCGAAUCCAGGAGAAAAGGAUGGUCUUCCCAGGAAAUGGUGCCAGAAUAACUCGCUAUUCAUAUGGAAGAAAAUGAAAAUGAUUCCGUAUGUCAUCCCACACAUUAAAAAUCCAUUCCAGAUGGAUUAAGGAUUUAAAUAUAAAUGGGAUGCCCGGAAGAAGCCUUGCAUCUGGAUAUCAGCCACAGACACGGAGAUACUCAAAGAAGCAUUGUGCACCUGGAGAGAAACCAGAUCGCCAUUAACAAUCGAACAUAGAAACAUUGGCUGGGGGCGGUGGCUCACGCCUGUAAUUCCAGCACUUUGGGAAGCCGAGGCCGGGCGGAUCACUUGAAGUCAGGAGUUCAAGAUCAGCCUGGCCAACAUGGUGAAACCCUGUCUCUACUAAAAAUACAAAAAUUAGCUGGGUUUGGUGGCUCACACCUAUAAUCCCAGAUAGUCAGGAGGCUGAGGCAGAAGAAUCGCAUGAACCCAGGAGGUGGAGGUUGCAGUGAGCUGAGAUUGCGCCACUGCACUCCAGCCUGGGUGACAGAGCAAGACUCUGUCUCAAAAAAGAAAAUAGAAGCGUUGUAACAUGAAGAUGAUCAUAUGCUAUACAGCAGCC
rnacentral:lncRNA from 1 species